AUGACUAUUGCUAAAGAUAAGUGAAUUAUCAAAGUUGUUGCUCGCCUGAAAAAGUCUAUUACUUGCCUGGCCGUCCAGUUAAAUCCAAAGAAGCUGUUAUUGUGUGGUGUGAUGAACAGCAGGGAUUGAGGGCACCUUGACUGUGUUAAAAAAACAGGUUUCGAUUAGCCACUGGGACGCGCUUUGCCGGCUUUGAUACACUCAGUCCAGAUGUCCCAGUACAAUUCAGGCGGCAAUUAGAAGUUCGACUACACACUCACUGGAAAUGAAGUUCGAACCUUUGAUAAGGCAUAACAUGCUCGAGCAGAUGCUGCAUUUAAUAUGAAAUCAUAUACUGUCAAAGGGUCUGCGUAAAAACCUACAGGCUGGUGUAAUAACAGCAAAUAUGGAUACGCAACAUCUGUAUGCAUCUCACACAUAAACACACAUACCACGCAAACAUCUGGGGCUCAAAAUGAGA